rnacentral:rRNA from 1 species
AUUGAACGCUGGCGGCAGGCCUAACACAUGCAAGUCGAACGGUAACAGGAAGAAGCUUGCUUCUUUGCUGACGAGUGGCGGACGGGUGAGUCAUGUCUGGGAAACUGCCUGAUGGAGGGGGAUAACUACUGGAAACGGUAGCUAAUACCGCAUAACGUCGCAAGACCAAAGAGGGGGACCUUCGGGCCUCUUGCCAUCGGAUGUGCCCAGGUGGGAUUAGCUAGUAGGUGGGGUAACGGCUCACCUAGGCGACGAUCCCUAGCUGGUCUGAGAGGAUGACCAGCCACACUGGAACUGAGACACGGUCCAGACUCCUACGGGAGGCAGCAGUGGGGAAUAUUGCACAAUGGGCGCAAGCCUGAUGCAGCCAUGCCGCGUGUAUGAAGAAGGCCUUCGGGUUGUAAAGUACUUUCAGCGGGGAGGAAGGGAGUAAAGUUAAUACCUUUACUCAUUGACGUUACCCGCAGAAGAAGCACCGGCUAACUCCGUG